rnacentral:sRNA from 1 species
CCCUAGCCCAGAUAGAAGCGGUAUCCUUUUCCAUCGCCUCCUUAGGCGAAAGAAAAGAUAUAGCGGAUAGCUGGAAUUAGC